rnacentral:rRNA from 1 species
AGUCGAGCGGACAGAUGGGAGCUUGCUCCCUGAUGUCAGCGGCGGACGGGUGAGUAACACGUGGGUAACCUGCCUGUAAGACUGGGAUAACUCCGGGAAACCGGGGCUAAUACCGGAUGCUUGAUUGAACCGCAUGGUUCAAUUAUAAAAGGUGGCUUUUAACUACCACUUACAGAUGGACCCGCGGCGCAUUACCUAGUUGGUGAGGUAACGGCUCACCAAGGCAACAAUGCGUACCCAACCUGAGAGGGUGAUCGGCCACACUGGGACUGAAACACGGCCCAAACUCCUACGGGAGGCAGCAUUAGGGAAUCUUCCGCAAUGGACAAAAGUCUGACGGACCAGCGCCCCGGGAGUGAUGAAGGUUUUCGGAUCGUAAAACUCUUUUGUUAGGGAAAAACAAUUACCGUUCGAAUAGGGCGGUACCUUGACGGUGCCUAACCAAAAAGCCACGGCUAACUACUUGCCACCACCCGCGGUAAUACUUAGGUGGCAAGCGUUGUCCGGAAUUAUUGGGCGUAAAGCGCGCGCAGGCGGUUUCUUAAUUCUGAUGUGAAAGCCCCCGGCUCAACCGGGGAGGGUCAUUGGAAACUGGGGAACUUGAUUGCAAAAAAGGAGAGUGGAAUUCCACGUGUAGCGGUGAAAUGCGUAAAGAUGUGAGGAACACCAGUGGCGAGGGCGACUCUCUGGUCUGUAACUGACGCUGAGGCGCGAAAGCGUGGGGAGCGAACAGGAUUAGAUACCCUGGUAGUCCACGCCGUAAACGAUGAGUGCUAAGUGUAAGAGGGUUUCCGCCCUUUAGUGCUGCAGCAAACGCAUUAAGCACUCCGCCUGGGGAGUACGGUCGCAAGACUGAAACUCAAAGGAAUUGACGGGGGCCCGCACAAGCGGUG